rnacentral:rRNA from 1 species
UUUUUAAAUUGCUGUGGUAUUUUGACUAUACAAAGGUAUUGUAAUAAGAUUUUAAUUGAAUGCUAAAAGAAUGGAAAUUUAAAAAAAAACUUUUUUAAAAAUAAAAAUUGAAUUUUUUUUAAUUUGUGCAAAAACAAUUAUAUUUAUUAAAGACCAGAAGACCCUAAGAAUUUAAGAUUUUACAAUUAAAAAGUUUUUUUUUUAAAAUCUUGAUUGGGGCGAUCAAAAAAUAUUAAUAACUUUUUAAAAUUUAAAUUGAUCUAUUAUUAAUAAACUAAUGAAUUAAAUACUCUAGGGAUAACAGCGUAAUAAUUUUUGAUAGAUCUUAUUGACAAAAUAGUUUGCGACCUCGAUGUUGGAUUAGGAUUCUUUUUUAAUGAAGAAGUUAAAAAAAGAAGUU